rnacentral:rRNA from 1 species
GCCGGUGACGAAACCGGAGGAAGGUGGGGAUGACGUCAAGUCAUCAUGGCCCUUACGGCCUGGGCUACACACGUGCUACAAUGGUCGGUACAAAGGGUUGCCAAGCCGCGAGGUGGAGCUAAUCCCAUAAAAACCGAUCGUAGUCCGGAUCGCAGUCUGCAACUCGACUCCGUGAAGUCGGAAUCGCUAGUAAUCGUGAAUCAGAAUGUCACGGUGAAUACGUUCCCGGGCCUU